GCGAAAUGUUCGAAGCGCUGGAAUUGAAAUUGUUCGAUGUUUUACGGAGGUUACUCUUUCUUUGAAUUUUCAGCACAGCAGAUUCGACAUUUUUCUUAAUUACUUGUUUUGAAUAGAGGUUGCUGUGAAAUAUAGGAGGAUGGAGGCUCCAAUCUUCAUGUAGCCAUUGUGAUUCAGGUUUUCAAUGGUUUCUCUAAUUUACUUCAGGAUUUCAGGUGGUUACUACUGUAAGGCCACAGCCAACUACUUGUUGCAUCCUUGCCAUACUGUACUAUGCAAAACCCAAAUGUAAGCACAGUAAAGCCACAAGAUGCAAUGGAGGGCAUGUGUUUUACUGGUGGGGAAGGAGACAUUUACACUAUGAUAUCACGACUUGGGAGUGCGUGCCAUGGAUGCCAAAGAAGACGAGGUCAGCAUGACAAUCGCUGUCAUUCCAAAAUGAAAAACAAAA